AAUUUUGGACAAUGGGCGAAAGCCUGAUCCAGCAAUGCCGCGUGAACGAUGAAGGCUUUCGGGUCGUAAAGUUCUGUCCUUGGGGACGAUAAUGACGGUACCCAAGGAGGAAGCCCCGGCUAACUACGUGCCAGCAGCCGCGGUAAUACGUAGGGGGCAAGCGUUGUCCGGAUUUCUUGGGCGUAAAGGGUGCGUAGGCGGCCAUUUAAGUCAGAUGUGAAAGAUCAAGGCUCAACCGUGGUAAGCAUUUGAAACUGAAAGGCUUGAGUUAAGGAGAGGAAAGUGGAAUUCCUAGUGUAGCGGUGAAAUGCGUAGAUAUUAGGAGGAAUACCAGUGGCGAAGGCGACUUUCUGGACUUAUACUGACGCUGAGGCACGAAAGCGUGGGGAGCGAACA
rnacentral:rRNA from 1 species